rnacentral:sRNA from 1 species
UUUUAGCCCCGAUCGAAGUGAAAAUCCUUGUAAACCGUCUCGUCCCUAAAGACGAGAGGUUUACAAGAUUGCAACGGAGAGCGGGAGGAAUG